GAUUUUAUUUUUUAUGUUUUUAGAUGUUYAUGUUUUUGAAUGUUUUAUUCAAAUAAUAUAAAAAAUAAAAUAUAUAUUGACAUGGAUUAAACAAAGAUAUAUAUUAUUCUAUGUUGUAUAAACAAAUUGGCAAAAUAGAGAUGGAAGAUAAAAAUAUGGUCAAAGUAAUAAGAGUCUAUGGUGAAUGCCUAGGAGCUUUAAGGCGAAGAAGGUCGUGGUAAGCUGCGAAAAGCUUGGGGGAGAAGCAAACAUUUAUUGAUCCCAAGAUUACCGAAUGGAGUAAUCCAGCUAGCAAGAUGCUAGCUAUCUAUUAUUAAAUAAUARARGCGAUACCAGG
rnacentral:misc_RNA from 1 species